rnacentral:tRNA from 1 species
GCGGGAAUAGCUCAAUGGUAGAGCAUUAGCCUUCCAAGCUAAGUGUUGCGGGUUCAAUCCCCGUUUCCCGCUCCA